UUAUACAUUAUCAAGGUUGUAGUACUCAGUAGCCUGGGAACAUUGGUGGAGGUGGCGAUGAGUAUUGGAAUCCCAAGUUUGGAGGGAGGACUACCUUUUUUGUAGGUGGCGGUGUCAAAGCAACAACUGGAGGUGAAGUUGGUGGUGGUUGUGAUUGAACUGGUGGAUGUGGAGAAUAGACGGGUGGUGGUGAUUGAACUGGUGGAGGUGGGAAGGAGACGGGUGGUGGAGGGGAGAGAACUGGUGGUGGUGGAGAUUGAACUGGUGGAGGUGGAAAGGAGACGGGUGGUGGAGGGGAGAGAACUGGUGGAGGUGGAGAGUAGACGGGUGGUGGAGGGGAGCGAACUGGUGGUGGUGGUGAUUGAACUGGUGGAGGUGGAAGGGAGCGAACCGGUGGUGGUGGUGAUUGAACUGGUGGAGGUGGAGGGGAGCGAACUGGUGGUGGUGGAGAUUGAACUGGUGGAGGUGGAGGGGAGCGAACAGGUUGUGGUGGUGGUGAGUAGACGGGUGGUGGAGGGGAGAGAACUUGUUGUGGUGGUGUGUGAACGGGAGGUUUUGGCUGUGGCUUUGGAGGAGCUUUGACGGGUGGCUUAGGUGAAGAGCCACCACCGCAUUUGUCUUUACUACAAUCAAUUGGAUGGCUCAAAACGGC
rnacentral:lncRNA from 1 species